AAACAAAAGAAAAGAUGAAAAAUAGUAAGGUCAAUUGAAAAAAUACAUAUACCAAAACCAAAAGGACAACUAGAUUUACUAUGAGUGCACUAAGAUUUUGCAGAUUCAAGGUUUUACUGCAUGCAAUUUAGGCUAAAACCCAAGGAUACUUAGAGUCAGACUGGGUUUUAUGAAAGCCAGAGGAAUUUUUGGACCUUCAAUGGUUAAGAGGAAGAUAAUUUGUCUGCAUUGACUUCAUUGCUGAUCAUCGUACAUAGUGUUAUGAAAAGAAGAUACUGUGCACAACACAAGAAAAAAAAAAGAAGACUAACAUUUUUAAGACAACCAGCAUCCGAGAAUAGAAUGGAGCCUUGGAUAUAAAUUGUGAUUAAAAAAAAAAAAAAAAAAAUUGAAAAAGAGAGAAUAGGGAAAGAUUUCUUCCUUGCAAAAACUAUAUCAGAAAAGAAAAAUUGCAGUCAAAUGGCAGGGGGAAAGAUCAUAUCAUUACAUCAAUAAAGUCUAACAAAAUUAUUUGACAAUGAACGGAAAUAUUAGUAGGCAUCACAUCCAUCAUGGACAAUAAAUUACUUCAAGAUAUCUAAUUCCCAGAUACAGUCAGUCAAUGGUGAGGCUGCACACCAUAGAAAAAUCCCUUUUUUCAUUUUCAGGUGGCUCAUACAAUAUACUCGACAGCGCAGUGCAUGCAUCACUUCUAUGCAACUUGCCGAAACAAGGACAUGACUUAGAGCAUUAUUUGAUUUCAGAUUGUGACACCUUAGCGCAGCAGAUAUUUGAAAUGCAGUAAGAUAUCUGCCUUACAAAAGCAACCAAUAGCAUAAAUAACUCUUGACCUACACUUGUGGGAGAAAAAAAAAAUCAGUAGCUUACAGAACAGGUAGCAAAUCUGGCAUUGCUUUGAAAUAUCUUCAUUCAAAAUUUUCAUUGGAUGAAUUCCCUCAGGUCUGAGAACAGACAGCUGGUUAGAAUCUAGGCAAUUCUAUUGAUAUGACAGGAGUCAGUACAGUAAAAGAGAGCAGAGAAAUUGGCUUAUAAAUUGAAGGGCAGGGCAGAGGGAAGAAAACCUUGUUUUCUCAUUAAAACGCAUGGCUUUUCACUUUCCUACAAUCUGUGUUAUCUGAAGGUAAUAUCCUUAUGGUACUUACUAACAAUGAGGGCGGAUUUUAACACAGAAGCAUAAAUUCAGUCAGAUAAACAGGUUUGUUCGUUCAUUUGUUUUCACUGUGGAAAACAGAUAAAUCUUUAAAUUUUAUAAACUGUUGUGGUUUUUUUAUUUUUUUCACUUUACUUCCCAAGCAUGAGUUAACUAACUCCCAAAACAUCUAAGCUAAAUUUGGUCUCCAUUCAGCCAAUAGAGAUAUCACUGCAGGAAGAAACAUUUCAAACAGUCUGGGGUAAGUGGUUUCAGAAAUAAGAAACCUUAAUUUUAAUUCUGAGUUAAUAUAGUUAAUAUAGCAAGAUGUGAAAUACUGCCUACAAGCUUGCUUGCACUGAACCUGAAAUGGUUUAUGUCUCUCUGUUAUGUUUUUAGGUUUAGAGCCCAGAGGAAAGUUCACUGUAGUGCAGAGAUUUUCAACUUGCGAACACAGCAGAUUUCGCCCCAGUACAACAAGAACCGAGGGAAGAAGCAGCAAAAGAAUAAAGACCUAACAUCUGUUACUAACUUUAGGUCCCAAUUCAG
ensembl:lncRNA